rnacentral:rRNA from 1 species
CGGCACAGAGGGAAGCCAGGUGGCGACACCGCGCGGAACCGAAGCCGUUCUCAGUUCGGAUCGGAGUCUGCAACCCGACUCCGUGAAGCUGGAUUCGCUAGUAAUCGCGCAUCAGCCAUGGCGCGGUGAAUACGUUCCCGGGCCUUGUACACACCGCCCGUCAAGCCAUGGGAGCCGGGGGUGCUUGAAGUGCGUCGCCGCAAGGCGCGCCCUAGAGCAAAACCGGUGACUGGGGCUAAGUCGUAACAAGGUAAC